rnacentral:rRNA from 1 species
AGAGUUUGAUCAUGGCUCAGAUUGAACGCUGGCGGCAGGCCUAACACAUGCAAGUCGAACGGUAACAGGAAACAGCUUGCUGUUUCGCUGACGAGUGGCGGACGGGUGAGUAAUGUCUGGGAAACUGCCUGAUGGAGGGGGAUAACUACUGGAAACGGUAGCUAAUACCGCAUAACGUCGCAAGACCAAAGAGGGGGACCUUCGGGCCUCUUGCCAUCAGAUGUGCCCAGAUGGGAUUAGCUAGUAGGUGGGGUAACGGCUCACCUAGGCGACGAUCCCUAGCUGGUCUGAGAGGAUGACCAGCCACACUGGAACUGAGACACGGUCCAGACUCCUACGGGAGGCAGCAGUGGGGAAUAUUGCACAAUGGGCGCAAGCCUGAUGCAGCCAUGCCGCGUGUAUGAAGAAGGCCUUCGGGUUGUAAAGUACUUUCAGCGGGGAGGAAGGGAGUAAAGUUAAUACCUUUGCUCAUUGACGUUACCCGCAGAAGAAGCACCGGCUAACUCCGUGCCAGCAGCCGCGGUAAUACGGAGGGUGCAAGCGUUAAUCGGAAUUACUGGGCGUAAAGCGCACGCAGGCGGUUUGUUAAGUCAGAUGUGAAAUCCCCGGGCUCAACCUGGGAACUGCAUCUGAUACUGGCAAGCUUGAGUCUCGUAGAGGGGGGUAGAAUUCCAGGUGUAGCGGUGAAAUGCGUAGAGAUCUGGAGGAAUACCGGUGGCGAAGGCGGCCCCCUGGACGAAGACUGACGCUCAGGUGCGAAAGCGUGGGGAGCAAACAGGAUUAGAUACCCUGGUAGUCCACGCCGUAAACGAUGUCGACUUGGAGGUUGUGCCCUUGAGGCGUGGCUUCCGGAGCUAACGCGUUAAGUCGACCGCCUGGGGAGUACGGCCGCAAGGUUAAAACUCAAAUGAAUUGACGGGGGCCCGCACAAGCGGUGGAGCAUGUGGUUUAAUUCGAUGCAACGCGAAGAACCUUACCUGGUCUUGACAUCCACGGAAGUUUUCAGAGAUGAGAAUGUGCCUUCGGGAACCGUGAGACAGGUGCUGCAUGGCUGUCGUCAGCUCGUGUUGUGAAAUGUUGGGUUAAGUCCCGCAACGAGCGCAACCCUUAUCCUUUGUUGCCAGCGGUCCGGCCGGGAACUCAAAGGAGACUGCCAGUGAUAAACUGGAGGAAGGUGGGGAUGACGUCAAGUCAUCAUGACCCUUACGACCAGGGCUACACACGUGCUACAAUGGCGCAUACAAAGAGAAGCGACCUCGCGAGAGCAAGCGGACCUCAUAAAGUGCGUCGUAGUCCGGAUUGGAGUCUGCAACUCGACUCCAUGAAGUCGGAAUCGCUAGUAAUCGUGGAUCAGAAUGCCACGGUGAAUACGUUCCCGGGCCUUGUACACACCGCCCGUCACACCAUGGGAGUGGGUUGCAAAAGAAGUAGGUAGCUUAACCUUCGGGAGGGCGCUUACCACUUUGUGAUUCAUGACUGGGGUGGAGUCGGAACAAGGUAACCGUAGGGGAACCUGCGGUUG